CAGGAAAAAAAAAAACCAAAAAAACAACUGUGAUUCUGCAUCUGUUGCCUUUUCAUUUCCAGACUAUGGCAGCUGAACUAAAUGGAAAUACAAUAUGGAGAAAGAGGCCAGCAACAAGCUUCACUCGAAGAGAAGUUUUAAAUGUGAUUUAUCUGAACAGCAAAUAUCAUAGCUCAAUGCACCAUCUGCAAUUGUACUGCAACUCUAUGGAUCAUUAAAUAUAGACUACAUUUGUGUCUAUUG